rnacentral:misc_RNA from 1 species
AAAUCUCAACCUCCUUGGUUUCUUCUGGAGACCAAAGGAGGCUUGGACUUUGGAGGCCUUUGCUGGUGUCUCUCUCUUUUGAAGGCCAGCUCCUCUUAAAUGAAUUAGCGGGGUCCUCUUUGCCGAUCCUUGACAUGUGAUAAGAUGUUUCCAUGCCUCGGUUUCUGGCUCUGUUGCCUUUGGGACCCGCUUCUAACCGUCUUGACCUUGCAUCGAGACAAUGUUCGAGCUUGUCUCCCUUUUCGGGAAACUCUCUCGACCCCACGAAC